rnacentral:rRNA from 1 species
UACGGGGGGAGCAAGCGUUGUUCGGAUUUACUGGGCGUAAAGGGCGCGUAGGCGGUCAGCACAAGUCAGUUGUGAAAUCUCCGGGCUUAACUCGGAAAGGUCAACUGAUACUGUGCGACUAGAGUGCGGAAGGGGCAACUGGAAUUCCUGGUGUAGCGGUGAAAUGCGCAGAUAUCAGGAAGAACACCCGUGGCGAAGGCGGCUCUCUGGGACGGUACUGACGCUGAGACGCGAAAGCGUGGGGAGCGAACAGG